UUCGGGAGGGCGCUUACCACUUUGUGAUUCAUGACUGGGGUGAAGUCGUAACAAGGUAACCGUAGGGGAACCUGCGGUUGGAUCACCUCCUUACCUGAAAGAAGC
rnacentral:rRNA from 1 species